rnacentral:rRNA from 1 species
UACGAAGGGGGCUAGCGUUGUUCGGAUUUACUGGGCGUAAAGCGCACGUAGGCGGAUCGUUAAGUCAGGGGUGAAAUCCCGGAGCUCAACUCCGGAACUGCCUUUGAUACUGGCGACCUUGAGGCCGGAAGAGGUUAGUGGAAUUCCCAGUGUAGAGGUGAAAUUCGUAGAUAUUGGGAAGAACACCAGUGGCGAAGGCGGCUAACUGGUCCGGAUCUGACGCUGAGGUGCGAAAGCGUGGGGAGCAAACAGG